GGCUCAGGAUGAACGCUGGCGGCGUGCCUAAUACAUGCAAGUCGAACGCACAGCGAAAGGUGCUUGCACCUUUCAAGUGAGUGGCGAACGGGUGAGUAACACGUGGAUAACCUACCUCAAGGUUGGGGAUAACAUUUGGAAACAGAUGCUAAUACCGAAUAAAACUUCGUAUCGCAUGAUACAAGGUUAAAAGGCGCUACGGCGUCACCUAGAGAUGGAUCCGCGGUGCAUUAGUUAGUUGGUGGGGUAAAGGCCUACCAAGACAAUGAUGCAUAGCCGAGUUGAGAGACUGAUCGGCCACAUUGGGACUGAGACACGGCCCAAACUCCUACGGGAGGCUGCAGUAGGGAAUCUUCCACAAUGGGCGAAAGCCUGAUGGAGCAACGCCGCGUGUGUGAUGAAGGCUUUCGGGUCGUAAAGCACUGUUGUAUGGGAAGAACAGCUAGAGUAGGGAAUGACUUUAGUUUGACGGUACCAUACCUGAAAGGGACGGCUAAAUACGUG
rnacentral:rRNA from 1 species